ACAGUCAUCGAGUUAGCUCGUGUAGAAGUAGAAAGUUAGUGAAAAAUAGUCAACUAGCUAGUAAACUAUGGUAUUUUUAUUCAGUUUGUAGAUAGAUAGGAGCAAGAACUCUUCAAGUCGCCCUCAGGAAUAUCAUAAACUGCUGGUUCAGCCUAGUAUGGAAGAGCUGACAAAGGCAGAGGGUACUCCCGAGGACGCGAUGGAUGUUCCUUUAUACUGACGUUAAAGGAGGCAUUUAUGGAUGGCGAAAAGUGACCGUCAUGUCUUGGACACGGGCCUAUUUAUUGCUGUAUAAUUGUGCAUCGACAAAGAGGUUGAUUGAUUGAAGGUGAUCUUACGGAUUUCAGCAUUGCUGCAAAAGAGACCAAUGUAGCCGUCCCCCGAAGCAAGAUAACACUUAAACAAGCAGUUUUACAAACACCCUGUGACUGUGGAGCUACCACCUCCUCCUGCUAGACCUUCACGAACUCUCAUAAUGUUAACUCACAUGCAUGGUGUACUCAAUAAUUAUUAUCUGAUUAUCUGCUCA